GUCCACUGACCUGUAAUAGAGAACUGGAUUGCUCAUGAGACCCCGAUCGUUCACUUGUAAUACAUUGAUAGUUUUCUUUAUCAAAUAUACAUAAAAAUGUUGCACAACAAAAAUGUCAAAUAAAGUUUUUAUUUACACAAAUUUAAGCAUGUGAAUUGAUUUGACUGGAUCCCUACUCACUGAAUAGAAAUGUCUUGUAUGCGUACUUACAAUAUAGCCUUUAUCUGAUUUGGUUUAUAGUGCAUUGUUAAAAUUAGGUGUUUGUUUGGCCAAGUAAGUUAUAUGGUUACUACAAUUUAAACAGCAUCACAGUUAAUUAAUGAAUGCAAUUCUGUUUGGCUCUAUUACCCGUUUUAAAAAGAGACGUUGCUUCCAUUCUUAACUGUCAUGAGGUUUUGCUUUUGGAGUACAUAAUAUACUACGGUCUAUUAUUAUUUUAUGAUCUUUCUUCAGUGGUUGGAGCUCAUUUCAUAAGAAAAUAAAAAUUUAAUUUACACAAAAAUACAAGAUAAGCUAGAAGAGAACCUGAACAGAUUUGCCUCAUCCUUUACUGAACUUUGUGUUAAACUUUUAACUGUACACCGGCUCAUUUUUGAAGCGUUGUAGU
ensembl:processed_transcript